rnacentral:rRNA from 1 species
CGGACGGCUCAGUAACACGUGGCUAACCUACCCUCGGGUGGGGGAUAACCUCGGGAAACUGAGGAUAAUACCCCAUAGGAGAAGAGGUCUGGAAUGAUCCUUCUCUGAAAACAUAUGUGCCCGAGGAUGGGGCUGCGUCUGAUUAGGUAGUUGGUGGGGUAACGGCCCACCAAGCCUACGAUCAGUACGGGCCUUGAGAGAGGCAGCCCGGAGAUGGGGACUGAGACACGGCCCCAGGCCCUACGGGGCGCAGCAGGCGCGAAACCUCCGCAAUGCACGAAAGUGCGACGGGGGGACCCCAAGUGCUUACGCACUGCGUAGGCUUUUCUAAAGUGUAAAAAGCUUUAGGAAUAAGGGC